AAAGGCUAGCCAGCAACCCAGCCAGGUGUCACCAUAAUCAGAUGGAGUAUCACCUGGUUAAGUAGCCAUUCUUUGGCAGGAAGAAGGUUGGGAGUGAGAAAUUUACAUCUUCGCAAUGGAACAGCUGGAAGUUCCUGUGCAAACAGACUGUUGCCUGAAUCCCAGCUGGAAAUGAUUCUAAAAGAGGGGGAAGAGAUAUAAAAAUGAGGAACAGAGGCCCCAAAUCACCUCUCUCCCCUCAUCUCUAAUCAUGGUGUCAACAACACUUGAAAGACAAAAGAAACAUCACUGAGCUGGUCCUGGUUGAAAGAAAUCCAGCCAGACUGCUGUAAGCGUGUGGAAUGUUCCUGUGGGCCAGCUUGUCUGGAAAGAGCCACUGUCAUUUCUAUGGACCUGAAAUCAGGAUUUAAUUUACAGAUUGCAAGAGGAGAAUUUUGAGGGAGAACACCUGUGUAUUAGCAAACAUUUUAACCUGAGCUACAGGCGGAGCCAUUAUGUAAUCUUUUAGACUAUUGGGUUAUUGUGCUAAUUUAGUCUUGCUGCUAGAACCCACCCCGUCGCUUCUCUCUGUCCAUUGGCACCCUAUAUAAUCUAUUGUAAUCAAUUGCUUAGCAGUGUCUCACUGAGCCUAAUAAGCAAAGUGACACUCCGCCAGCGCUGUGCGUAAUAAACCCUCGUGCUUGACUCUA